GAUGAACGCUGGCGGCGUGCCUAAUACAUGCAAGUCGAGCGAACUGAUUAGAAGCUUGCUUCUAUGACGUUAGCGGCGGACGGGUGAGUAACACGUGGGCAACCUGCCUGUAAGACUGGGAUAACUCCGGGAAACCGGAGCUAAUACCGGAUAACAUUUUCUCUUGCAUAAGAGAAAAUUGAAAGAUGGUUUCGGCUAUCACUUACAGAUGGGCCCGCGGUGCAUUAGCUAGUUGGUGAGGUAACGGCUCACCAAGGCAACGAUGCAUAGCCGACCUGAGAGGGUGAUCGGCCACACUGGGACUGAGACACGGCCCAGACUCCUACGGGAGGCAGCAGUAGGGAAUCUUCCGCAAUGGACGAAAGUCUGACGGAGCAACGCCGCGUGAGUGAUGAAGGCUUUCGGGUCGUAAAACUCUGUUGUUAGGGAAGAACAAGUACAAGAGUAACUGCUUGUACCUUGACGGUACCUAACCAGAAAGCCACGGCUAACUACGUGCCAGCAGCCGCCGUAA
rnacentral:rRNA from 1 species